rnacentral:rRNA from 1 species
AGGGUUUGAUCAUGGCUCAGGAUGAACGCUGGCGGCAUGCCUAACACAUGCAAGUCGAACGAAGUUACCGGAGCAGCGGACUUAGGUUCAACGCACCGACUAACUUAGUGGCGGAUGGGUGAGUAACACGUGAGCAACCAACCUUUUACUCGGGAAUAACAUGGGGAAACCCAUGCUAAUACCUGAUAUUAUCAAGAAAUGGCAUCAUAAUUUGAUGAAAGAUUUAUCGGUAAAAGACGGGCUCGCGUCCGAUUAGCUAGUUGGUAAGGUAAUGGCUUACCAAGGCCACGAUCGGUAGCCGGACUGAGAGGUCGACCGGCCACAUUGGGACUGAGAACGGCCCAGACUCCUACGGGAGGCAGCAGUGGGGAAUAUUGGGCAAUGGACGCAAGUCUGACCCAGCGAUGCCGCGUGAAGGAUGGAAGGCCCUCGGGUUGUAAAACUCUGUCCUUAGGGAAGAACGGUCUAUAUGUGAAUAAUGUAUAGAAAUGACGGUACCUAAGGAGGAAGCCCCGGCUAACUACGUGCCAGCCGCCGCGGUAAUAC